GGAGAUGGUUUUCUCUUGCAAAAUUUUUUCCGAAGUAUUUUUAGUUCUGAAGAUACUGCAACACCAAUAUUGCUUUGACCAGAUAAAUCCAACAUCUUAAUAUUAAGUAUUUUCAACUUAUUUGUCUAACUAAGUGAAGCGUUAAAACAGGAAACGAACGAAUAUUGUUUCUUUCCGGUUAAGCAAUCUUGGUGAAUGAACAAUCGACAUUCAUGUUUCUGUUGUCAAUGUUAUGUCAGUUGUUUGCGACGGCAAAUCUUCUCACAUCUUUACCAGGAUAAGCUGUAACAAAGAGUGUCAAUUGGCAGCUGUAACCGAAUGGACAAGAGUGAGUCGGAGGAGAAUUUACACAAGAAAUUGGCUUCCGAUCAGUUUGAUGUUAUCGCAGAGGCCAUCACUCCGAAAACGUUGGGAGAUUGUGGUACGAACACCUUGUUGAAGGCAUUUGAG